GCCCGGGUGGUCUAGUGGUAUGAUUCUCGCUUAGGGAUUUUCAAACCCCAAGCAUAUCUGCGAGAGGUCCCGCGUUCGAUCCGCGGCUCGGGCC